rnacentral:sRNA from 1 species
GCCGGGCAUGGUGGUGCACGCCUGUAAUCCCACCUACUCAGGAGGCUGAGGCAGAAGAAUUGCUUGAACCCAGGAGGCGGAGGUUGCAGUGAGCUAAGACAGCGCCACUGCACUCCAGCCUGGGCAACAAAGUGAGACUCUGUCUCAA